rnacentral:rRNA from 1 species
UAGUGAGUUUGAUCCUGGCUCAGGAUGAACGCUGGCGUCGUGCUUAACACAUGCAAGUCGAACGAUGAUCUCCAGCUUGCUGGGGGGAUUAGUGGCGAACGGGUGAGUAACACGUAACUGACCUACCCCGUAGUCCCGCACAACGGUCCGAAAGGACCGCUAAUUCGGGAUGUGAACCCGCACCGUGGUGCGUGUUUAAAGAUUCAUCGCUAUGGGAUGGGGGUUGCGGCGCAUCAGCUUGUUGGUGAGGUAAACGGCUCACCAAGGCAACGACGCGUAACCGG